rnacentral:lncRNA from 1 species
GCGUUGUGGCGCCCCCUAUCCUAGGCGACAUUCAAGAGGUUAAUCUAACUUGUUGCUUAGUAACACUGGACAUUUUACCCCCAUCUAGAGGUGCAAGACAGGAAAACAUGUAUGUACUACAGUUUCUAAAUCGUUCCUGCCCUAUAGGGCGCACUGGUGAGUCUAUUUGGCCUCAUCCUCUGUCUGAGCUCUAUUGCAAUUUGCCACGUAAUCUCCCGAGUUCAGAGCACAUGCCGCGUUCACUUGCUAGUCAGAACGAGGAAACUCGGAAACUUCAGACUUGCUAAGUGGUUGUAGUUGCUGUAUACACGUGUCGCGUUCAAGCAGUUAUAGCAAGUCGGAAAUGUCCGAGUUUCCUAGUCCCGACCAGUAAGUGAACGCGGCAAUAGACAUAGGUACAAGGGGCAGUCUGCGGAAUGAGUAGCAGAGCAACAGAAGCUUGGUGAAACUGGACCAGAUCACACGGGCAAAACCGAGGCGCAUAACGUUACAAAUUCAAGGUGGAUGUUAUUUUCUUGUGAAAACAUUGGAACGUGGAUAUUGUUAAUUGAGUAGGUGCGUGCCAGUGGUGUUGGCGAGCAAGUGGACCACCACCGACUGCACCUCCAGAACUGUAGAGGGAGUCACUGCACCUGCAGGAUUUGGCUGAGCCUAGCUGAGUGCUGCAGUGUGUCCACCCAGGGAGGGAACCACCAUGAGGCAGCUGAAGGGGAAGCCCAAGAAGGAGACGUCCAGGGACAAGAAGGAGCGUAAGGCGGCCAUGCAGGAGGCCCGGUCGCAGGUGGCCACAGUGGUUCUACCCACGCUGGCUGUGGUGGUGCUGCUCAUCGUAGUCUUUGUCUACGUGGCCACCAUGCCCAGAGCCAUAGAGUAGUGACCGGUUCCACACCCCUCACCUUGGCCCUAACCCCUCAAUGUUAGUAUGUCUGUAGCUCUCCAGGAACAGCGUCGGAGAACCCUGAGCAGUGUAGUAGUAAUUCCACCAUAGGAGCAAUAUCUAAUAGAUCUGGGCCAAGGGGAAGGGUAGGGACCGGCUCUAAGAUGGCUGGGCCCCAAUGGGGAUGCAUGCCCCUGCCCUACCACCCUGGACUGGGUCCCAAUUUACCCAGAGACUUGCUGCACCCAAAGGAUGACCCCAACCACCCCUUCCCCUGACUGCCAGCUUAACAUGCAUAUAGACCUUUUCUGGUCACUCAUCCCAUCCUCACCCCGUUCCACGUUUUCGCUCUCAUCCCUUUCUCUCAGAUCGAUCUGUCUGUCUGUGUGGUCCUCAGAGACCUGCCAUUUGUCUUAAUUGAUGCUUCCUCCCAAGUGCAGUUUUGCCACUAGAGAAUUGAGCUGCAAAAAAAGUAUUACAGUAGUGGCUUCAUAGGUGCCUUUUGAUGGAUGAUGUGUGGCAACUAAGGCAGCCAUGUUGGCUCAAGGGCAGAACUUAUAUCCAUUACAUCAGUGUUUGCCAACCCUGGUCCUCCAGUACCCCCAACAGUCCAACCCUGGUCCUCCAGUACCCCCAGGGUUGGACUGUUGGGGGUACUGGAGGACCAGGGUUGGACUGUUGGGGGUACUGGAGGACCAGGGUUGGGGAAACACUGCAUUACAUGUCUAUCAAUCACUCUGUAACGACGGUAGGAUUCAUUUUGGCUCUGGUGCUGUCUUAAAGAGUUUCAAUUUCCUGUUUACAAGAGGACUUUUAGGGCAUAGCUUGCCAAGUUUGACCUGGGGAUGUUUUAAUCAGGCGAAAGGUUGAGGACGUGUGAUAAGAUGAAUUAAUCUACUGGCAUUGUUGAGCAAUGUGUUAAGAUUAUAGUCACAUGACAAAGUCCAGCAGUCCAAGCUAUGUCUGUAGAAUGUAUACAUCCACAAAUGUGUGAUUUGAAGAAAAAGAAAUGUAUUUUAACAUGCCAGCAUUGGUCCUGUCUGUUCGAAUAGUUGAAUGCAACUCAGGAUUUUGUCCUGAUUGAAUGUGGUGUUUGUACUGGACAGAUUGCGAAUAUGUCACAGGAGAACAUAAUGACACUAUUCCAUGUACAAUCCCAGCGCUACACACUUUGUACCUUUUUUUUAAGCUACUGACAACUUUGACUUUUGAGUUGCUCAGUAUGACAUCUGUGCAGAUGAGGAAAAUAUGUGCCUUAUAAUGUUUGACAAUGAGCCUUUUCAGUUAAUAAAGAAAACUGAAAGACUUGUUUGUUGUUCUAGUCCCUUCAAACUCUAUUCUAGACCUCGAAGCCAGUUCCACUGCUUUUUCCCCCAUUGUUCCCCUCUACUCAGGGACUGCUUUAGGCCGGGGACACCAGGUGGGUGCAACUAAUUAGAGUAAAACAGAAAAUCAGAAGACUCUGGACCUCGUAGGGUAAGCGUUGAAUACCCUUGCUCUAGUCUAUUUGGUGGCAUUGUGUACCUUUACCCAUGUGCAGUAAUGCAGAUGGCGCAGUAGUCACCUGGCAUCCUCUAGGAACACUGAAGAGCACAGAGUCCCUGCUGUAUGUCCCUGUUGCCCAAGGUCUGACUUGCUUUGGAUGAGGAGUGGUUUUAACAAACCCAGUUGUGUGCUCUCUCCUUGGUCAUUGUCUCUGUGGUGCUAUGC